UACAGAGGCCUCGAGCGUUAGGCGGAAUCACUGGGCUUAAAAGCGUGUGUAGGUGGAUGCCUAAGUACCUUGUGAAAUCCCACGGCUUAACCGUGGAACUGCUGGGUAUACUGGGUGUCUUGAGCCACUCAGGGGCUACCGGGAACAAAACGGUGGAGCGGUGAAAUGCGUAGAUAUCGUAAGGAAGACCAGUGGGCGAAGGCGGGUCUCUGGACAGUUCCUGA
rnacentral:rRNA from 1 species